rnacentral:lncRNA from 1 species
GCGAAUUCAAGUGCAACGCUCUGAUAAAUUGCAAAUGUUAGCUCGCAAGAGGCGUUCCUGCUAUCGUCUGCUAAAGUCGAAUUCAAGUGCAACGCUUUACCGCUCUGGUAACUGAUGACGUCAAAAUUGCAAUGGGGAGCUGGUUUGCUCUCGUGCCAGGAGAGCUUGUCCGAUAAACUACAUCAAUAUCCAAUGAGACUGCGUGUCGAUGUAAACAAAAAACAUCAGUUCCCAUGAUUUCUCUGAGCUUAUGGUCAAGUGUUUACUGCGUUGUAGUGUGGUGUAACGAAUUGUUCCAGUCCUGAAAACGAAAGAAAUAUACAGACAUGUAUAUUUCUUUUAAUGUGUACAACAUGUAUUUAAUGUGUACAACUUUAUCCUAUAGAAAAUUCCCUCCAAAGUAAUCUAGAGCAACAGAGUGCAACACAAUGCCACAAGUUUUUCCAGCCAAAUGCGGAACUAUCUUCAAUGAAUUGUAUAGAAAAUUGUGGACGAGGUGUUUGGUGUACAGGAACGUGGUAUAUUAUAAACAUGUAUAGUAUCUCAUAGUAUAUAAACUCAUAACUUUGAUUAUGCAGUAUGCUUUGUAUAUUAUUUCUGAAAGCAUGUAUAUUUCAAUCAAGAUUGUUGAGUAAACUUUUCUUGCUUUAUGCUAUCUCUGAAAGCAUGUAUAUUUCAGUCAAGAUUGUUGAGUAAAUUGUGUUUUU